rnacentral:rRNA from 1 species
UACAGAGGGUGCGAGCGUUGCUCGGAAUUAUUGGGCGUAAAGGGUAGGUAGGUGGUCUUAUUUGUCCAUAGGUGAAAGCCUUGAGCUCAACUCAAGAAGUGCCUUGGAAACGGUGAGACUAGAGUCCUGGAGAGGGUCGUGGAAUUCCCGGUGUAGCGGUGAAAUGCGUAGAGAUCGGGAGGAACACCAGAGGCGAAGGCGGCGACCUGGACAGGCACUGACACUCAACUACGAAAGCGUGGGGAGCAAACAGG